rnacentral:lncRNA from 10 species
ACUGACAAUGAUCUCACCACUCUCAGAAGCAUAAGAAUGAGCCAUGGAUUCACAGUGGUGUAGCCUGAGGAGGUGAUUUGACGGAAGACAGCAGAAAUCUCAUCACUGACCCAGGAGGUGAAGGAAAUACCCAGUGGGACUCGAUGGAGCCCAAAGACUUUCCUCCCCAGCUCUUCUCCCUCCGCCUCAGCAAUUUCAAGGUCCAGGACCCUGGCCAGCAUGAGAGGAGAGAGUGGAAACUAAGACAUAAAUCAAACUUACAUCAGGAAUACAGUCACCUAUCACCAGGACCUCAGGAUGCCUGGUCAUCCCUCCAAGAACCAUGAGCACUGUUAGAGAAAAGUCACAAAAACAAUUCAACAUUAUUCCAAUUCUUGCUUGCCAUCCUGCAUUUCUUGGCCUGGAGAUUCCCUUACCCUCAAAGUCAAUGCUUCUGGAGUAAGCAGAGCAGUACCAAAUGGCUAAGGGCCCCUCUUGGAGGCUGGACCUAUAUCACAACAGUAUAUGCAUGUGAUACCUCCUAGUAUGGUGCUUAGGAGUCAGGCAGAUCUGGUUCUAACACAAACUCUGCCACCAACCAGCUGUGUGCCCUUGGUCCAGUAAGUUAACUUCUGUUUCUCCAUUUCCCCUUUGGAAUUUUAACAAUAUCAAAAUACUACCUAUUAUAUUAUACAACAAA